GACGAACGCUGGCGGCGUGCCUAAUACAUGCAAGUCGAACGCACAGUUUAUACCGUAGCUUGCUACACCAUAGACUGUGAGUUGCGAACGGGUGAGUAACGCGUAGGUAACCUGCCUGGUAGCGGGGGAUAACUAUUGGAAACGAUAGCUAAUACCGCAUAAUAUUGAUUAUUGCAUGAUAAUUGAUUGAAAGAUGCUAUUGCAUCACUACCAGAUGGACCUGCGUUGUAUUAGCUAGUAGGUGAGGUAACGGCUCACCUAGGCGACGAUACAUAGCCGACCUGAGAGGGUGAUCGGCCACACUGGGACUGAGACACGGCCCAGACUCCUACGGGAGGCAGCAGUAGGGAAUCUUCGGCAAUGGACGAAAGUCUGACCGAGCAACGCCGCGUGAGUGAAGAAGGUUUUCGGAUCGUAAAGCUCUGUUGUAAGAGAAGAACGGGUGUGAGAGUGGAAAGUUCACACUGUGACGGUAGCUUACCAGAAAGGGACGGCUAACUACGUG
rnacentral:rRNA from 1 species